UUCGUGUAUGUGUGUGUAUAUAAAAAAUUUUAUUUAUAAAUAUAUAUUCAUUUAUUAUAUAUAUUAUUUUAUUUUUAUAUAGAAAUAUUUAUAUAAUAUUUUGUUUAUAAAUUUGUAAUUAUUUAUUAAUAUUUUUAAAUAUAUAAAUUUUAUGUAUUAUUAAUAAGGUUUAUUAUUAAUAUAUGAAUAUAUUUAAUCUAUAUAUAAAAAUUAUAAUAAUAAUAUAUAUAGUAUAUUAAUUAUUAUAUAUUUAUUAUAUAGCCGAAUUUUUGAUUCCGAAUUUUUAAUUGGUGAAUGUAUAAUAUCCGUAUAAAUCACGUAUCCGAAUAAUUACCAAAUCCGUUUUUUAGCCGUAUUUUUUAACGAAUUUAAAAAUUAAAAGAUGAAUUUUAUCCGAAUUAUACCCGUACCGAAUUUUUGCUGAAUCCGAAUUAACUAACUAUGAAGUAGACUACUGUUAGGACUCAUUACCUGGAAUAAAUGUCCAUUCAGCUUCCCUCCAAUUUCUUGUUUUUCGAAAACGCUUAUUUUUACUAUAAAUGAAAAUUUUGAACCUCUACUGCUGCAAGAAUUUGAAAUGAAAUUUUACGUCUUCGUCGGAUAGAAACUCUAACUUAGACUUUAGAGCUUCUCUCUGUAAGGAUUGAGAUUUUUACAGUACAACUAAACUCUCUGUUGAUGAUGUUUAUGUGUGUAAUUUAAUUACAUAAGCACUCGUCAAGUUUCAGGAGAAAAUGAGCUAAAACAGAGAAGUUACGCGAUUAUUAGUUUUCACUUAAGUAAAUAGUAACUCCGAUUUUUCGGUGAAGCCACGGAGUAGAGUUGGCUUUCUACGCGUAUCGGACUCCGUUCAUAGCGAUCCAAUAGCUCGUUUCGACCGGUUCAGCUAUUCUGGAACCAUUGGCGCUGUUGGAUUUUGAGUUUGAUGCACGGAUUUCGAGAAAAUCCAAAAAUACAUGUUUUAUAUGUAUUUACGUGUUAUUUUCUUAUGUUGGAAAGAAGAGUGGAUUGUGUCGUGAAUCCGUGGUUGAUCGAGGUGAAGCGAAAUCGCAGCUUUGUUGUCUCCGUCGUGCUGAACGCGAUGGCGCUGUCGGAUCGAAAAUCCGAUGGACGGAUUUUCGGGAAACGCGAAAUGUUCGCUAAGGGGUCGAAGGUGGCAAAUCGGAAACUU
rnacentral:lncRNA from 1 species